CUUGGCCGCUGAGCACUGGUGGAUUGCGGAAGUAUAUGUAGCCUACUACUGACUGUUCCUGGGUGCUUGGGUUAGCCGGAUUGUAGCGCAUAUCUAAAUAGCGAGCUUAGUAAACUUAUAGCAUCUCGUUGCUAAAAUUAAAGAAAUCCACGGGAACCCUCUCCCUUGAGAUACCAGAAACAUACCAACCAAGUGGGUCUGAUCUGCAGCGGUGAAGUUGUGCGGCGUUGAGGAGUUGUGCGGCGGUGAGGAGUUGUGUAUCAUGCAUCAGAGUAAAGGAGCUGUCAGGGUCCAGGAGGUGAUCGGUGCUCUGUGCAGGAUGCUGACAGCUACUGGCCUGGACUCCGUCCCCACACCAGAGGUCUUUAGAAGGGCUAAAUUCAACUGUGGACCUGAGGUGGAGGAUCCAUUGUGGAAAUUGCUCGCCAGUGUUCUUAAAACAUGUAACAUAAUUUCUGUUGAAGCCUCCCCAGAGUUGCCAGAGAUGGCCUCUGACCACAGGAGGCUGGUGGCCGUCGGUCUGUGGCAGAGUGGCUACCAUGUCGACUGGAUCAGAUGUGUGGGAGAGCAGGGGGGGGAGUGUGUCCCCUGCAGUAGGGAGCUGCUCCUGGCCCUGGGCUGGCUGUUGGCGACAGGCGCCGUGGAGACCUUGCUGGCCCACAGAGCGAAGCAGCUUGACUCCACGCGAUGGGACCCUGCAGUGAUGACUGCUCCCACUGUGGGGGAGGCCCAUAUGGACCGCCCCUCUCUGAGGAAGCUUCAGUGGCUGUUUGGCUCUUUGAGGUCCCAGAGGCGGAGCCUUCUAUCAAUGCAGGAAGAGCAGAGCAAGCUCGUGACCAUGGCCCUGUCGGUCGGCCUUUCCUCUUCAUCCUCCUCAAUGUCAACCUUUGUCUCUGACACUAACUCUGCACUGCAGGAGGAGUGUGUCCGUAUGCAGGACCUGAGCCAACUCCUGAAGUCAUACACCGACUGGAAACACACAGAGAAGCUGUUCUGGGUGUGGAUGGACAGCGUGGUGGAGGGCCAUGCGACAGACCAGAGGGUGGCGUGUCCGCUGAAUUCAGACGCUAAUGCCUCGGCCAAUAGGAGCAGAGCUGUCUGUCCCCAUGGUGACUGGGGCCUUGAGUGCCUCAACGACAUGCUGUUGGGACUUCCGACAGUGCAGAGAAAGAGAGGACAGCGAGGAGAGGAGAAGGAGCCAGGAGGACGUCGUCGGGGACAGGAGAGCGAUGACAGACCACCAGCGGAGCGUGACGGCGGGACAGCCCCCCCCCUGCCCCCCUGCCUCUCUCCUUCAGCACAGGGGUACAGGCUCAGGCUCCAGGGGGAGGCUGGGGACCCUGGGGCCCUGAGGGCCUCUGAGAGACGCCGGCUGCUGAUGCUGACAGAGUCCUCCUUACUGGAGGGGAGGGAGAGAUGCCAACGGGCCAAUAGGAUGCAGUUCCAGGAGAUGAUUGGCAGGCUAGAGGAUAUGGUGUUGAUAGCACCUUAAGUGAUUUCAAGUCUACUGAAUAAAAAAAACAAUACUGUGUGUGUGUGUGUGUGUGUGUGUGUGUGUGUGUGUGUGUGUGUGUGUGUGUGUGUGUGUGUGUGUGUGUGUGUGUGUGUGUGUGUGUGUGUGUGUGUGUGUGUGUGUGUGUGUGACACUUAUUGGCUCUUAUAUUCAUACCAAUCAUCUUUUAAAUCCACUCAAAUCGAUUAUCAUUAAAUCAUUUUAAUAAUUGCUACAAAGGAACACCGUUAGGAUACAGCAAUACAAAAAUCUGAAAUGACAGUGAUUUCUAAAUUAAAAUGAAUAAAUUACAAUCUGCAGGUGUAGUUAAUAUAGAUUUGCCCUGAGUUGAAUUACAUUUGUGGUAAUUGUUGUGCCUUAAUGAGAUGUCUUUCAAGGGCCUGCAUCACAGGACAUGUGUCACCUGGUGCACUGUGCAGUGUCAUGUAAAAUAUUAAUGCAAUGCCGGACCUUGAAUUUCCUCAUGAAAUUUAAAUUCUAACAUCUUCCUUUGUUCUAAAUGACAACAAUGUCAUUGAUUUGGUCCAGCUGGUUCCCUGACAACAUUGGGUAAAACCAGGGUCAAACCCGCUAUGUUUCCCAUCACCAAGUACUACUGUGGUCUUUUCUAGCUGCAGACAAACUAAUAUUGUUUGAGAAGAAGACAAUUAUUUGCCCUAACUACAACAUACUUGUAGAAAAACAACAAAUUCAUCAGAAUUGUGUAAAUAUAUUUAAUAUCUGAAACUGUUUCAGAAUACACACACAUCAACUGACACAUCUUAACCUUUGGGACUAUUUAAAUAUUUUACAUACUGAGGUCAGUUUAAAAUACUUCAGGUUUAUUGGUUUAUUCUUGAUAUAUACAUGGCUGUUUUAUUGAAUUUUGAUUUUACACAAAUAAGCACACUGGCUUAAAAUGUAGGUGAAUGAUCAUUUUGUGUUAACAACCAGCAGUUUCUGCAUGUAGGAGUUGAGCCACUUCUGUCGCUCCAUGGCUGUGAGCAGCUUGCUCUUCUCUCUGAAGGCUGCGUCGUCUGCUACCACCAUGUUCCUCUUACCCACGGAGCCACGGCUCCACUCAGCCGGCCAGCCUUUAUCCAUCCUACACACCAUAACAUGUUUCAUGACACAUACACAGAUAUAGGCAUGUAUAGUGUCGCCAAUAUUGAUAAUGCCCUGAAUGAAUGGUUAUUUCAACAGUCAAGAUUUCUACAAUCUUACCUAUGAAAUGUUGAGCCUUAAAUAAAAUCAUGAGGUGUAAGACUGAAAGUAAAGUCGGAUAAAUCCUGCUUCUGUACACCAAAGCUCAGACAUUCUCUUGUUUUGUUACUGUUUCAGAUCAGGUGAUUAACUGCAUCAGAGACCGCGGUAUGUUUAAAUAUGUGCCAUUACCCAAUGUUGAAAGGAUUUACCUGGACUCUUCACCUUCUGAAAGCUGGGACUUGGGACCAGACAGCCACACCCUACCAAUUAAACGUGGCUUGCUAUUGGCUGCUGCCAUGAGGCCAGGUGCUGACGUCAGCUCAAUUCCCCAGUUGUGAAGUGAGAAAUAGGGAAGGUGGACAUCAUAGUCAUCUUCUGUCACCUCAUCUGAAUUGUCUGGACUGCUAAAAACAUAGAAGAACAGAUGAAAGCUGUAGAAGAGGUCGAGGGUACCCCGAGGUCAGCAGAGUGGUAGCCAGGAUGCAAAGCAGAAGCAAGGAAGAUCGGGAAAACAUGGGCAGCUGAGACAUCCUUAAAGCACCGAGAACCAGAGGAUUCAUCAUCACAAAGGAAGAAAGAAAGACAGAGGAUUCAGAUGAAUCAUGCUUUCUGUGAAAAGGACCUUUCGUCUGAACUAUGCAGAACUUUUAACAAGUUUCCCCAGGACCAUCACUAUCGAGGACCUUUUUGGGAUCCACAGGGGGAACGAUAUCGGUCUGGACAUCAGCUAUAAGGUCACUAAAGAUAACGGCUGGGACCAUGUGGCAGACUGAUCCCAGUGCCCCCCUCAGCCCCAGAGGACAGCGUUUGGGACCGACCUUGUUCAAAGCGUGAGGCGCACUGUGCAGUCAACUCAUGGAUGCUGGUGCCCGGGAGAACGCCAAGAGCCCUGGGGUUGGACCCGACCUCUGGGCAGCACACUGUGAGAAAGUCCUGCAAAACAAACCCAACAUGCAACAGCAUAUUGUAACACAUUGAGAGUGAUUAUAUGCAGCAUAUGGAUCCAGCUAUAAUAAGUGGAGUCUCUGUAUGGAUGUCUAUUGUGGCAAGCAGGCUCCGGCACAGCAACCCUAGAGGCCCAGGGGAGAGGUGGUAUACGGGGUAUACCACCCAUAUCCCCCAGAUGGUGCCAAUGAGCGCAUCACCGCUUUCACCAAUUAGCGGGAUUCAAUCACCUGAGCAGCAGGUUGAGUGGCCAGGCUUAAAUAGCCGGCUUCAAGGCUCUAUCAAGGCUGUUGUGGUUCUAGGGUGAAGGGACCGGUCUUCGAGACGGAGGAAAACCAGUUGGAAGUCACUCCGCCCAGAGGGACACGUCCGUAUAUUCCUCCCAGGCGCACGGAGCCAAGACUCUUUUUGUUCCUUUUAGUAGUCUUCUCUAUGUUUGAAUAAACAUGCCUUUUUGGCUUAAGCGGCACAAAAAUGCGUUAAAAGGCACAAAAAUAAAACAACGGUCCUGUUGGUUCCAAUAAACACAUGGAAGCACAGCAGGUAGAACGGGUUAUACCCACAGAGCCUAAUAGACUAAUCCUGCACUGUACCUGGUAUAGACUCAUCCUGCACUGUACCUGGUAUAGACUCAUCCUGCACUGUACCUGGUAUAGACUCAUCCUGCACUGUACCUGGUAUAGACUCAUCCUGCACUGUACCUGGUAUAGACUCAUCCUGCACUGUACCUGGUAUAGACUCAUCCUGCACUGUACCUGGGCCAUGCGCUGCAGGUACAGUGAACUCAUACCUGCACUGAGCCCUGGGACAUGCGCUCUUUGUUCAGGGUGCGCCGUCUCUCCCAGCGGUUGAUGGAGUCCUGAACCUCUCUGCUGAGCUGCCGCGUCGCCGCCCUCUGCUGGUCGAAGGUCUUAAUGUGCUCCAGAGCCCCAUAGGUGGUGGUCAGGUAAUAGGACCCUAC